GACGAACGCUGGCGGCGUGCUUAACACAUGCAAGUCGAACGGUGAAGCGCCUUCCUUUUUGGUGGGUGUGGAUGAGUGGCGAACGGGUGAGUAACACGUGAGUAACCUGCCCCCUUCUUCUGGAUAACCGCAUGAAAGUGUGGCUAAUACGGGAUAUUCUGGGUCUGUCGCAUGAUGGGUCUGGGAAAGAUAUUGUUUCGGUGGGGGAUGGGCUCGCGGCCUAUCAGCUUGUUGGUGGGGUGAUGGCCUACCAAGGCGGUGACGGGUAGCCGGCCUGAGAGGGUGGACGGUCACACUGGGACUGAGACACGGCCCAGACUCCUACGGGAGGCAGCAGUGGGGAAUAGGGCACAAUGGGCGCAAGCCUGAUGCAGCGACGCCGCGUGAGGGAUGGAGGCCUUCGGGUUAUGAACCUCUUUCGCCAGUGAAGCAGGCCUGCCUCGUUUGUGGGUGGGUUGACGGUAGCUGGAGAAGAAGCGCCGGCUAACUACGUG
rnacentral:rRNA from 1 species